rnacentral:rRNA from 1 species
UGACGGUACCUCUAGAGGAAGCACCGGCUAAUUCAGUGCCAGCAGCCGCGGUAAUACUGAAGGUGCAAGCGUUAAUCGGAAUCACUGGGCGUAAAGCGCUCGUAGGCGGCUUUGUAAGUCAGAUGUGAAAGCCCACGGCUCAACCGUGGAACUGCAUUUGAUACUGCAUCGCUAGAGUAUAGGAGAGGGAAGUGGAAUUUCUGGUGUAGAGGUGAAAUCCGUAGAUAUCAGAAGGAACACCAGUGGCGAAGGCGACUUCCUGGACUAUUACUGACGCUGAGGAGCGAAAGCGUGGGGAGCAAACAGGAUUAGAUACCCUGGUAGUCCACGCCGUAAACGAUGGGUACUAAGUGUCGGAGGCUUGACCUUCGGUGCUGUAGUUAACGCGUUAAGUAUUCCGCCUGGGGAGUACGGUCGCAAGGCUAAAACUCAAG